rnacentral:misc_RNA from 1 species
AAGUCGUAACAAGGUUUCCGUAGGUGAACCUGCGGAAGGAUCAUUAAAUAAUCAAUAAUUUUGGCUUGUCCAUUAUUAUCUAUUUACUGUGAACUGUAUUAUUACUUGACGCUUGAGGGAUGCUCCACUGCUAUAAGGAUAGGCGGUGGGGAUGUUAACCGAGUCAUAGUCAAGCUUAGGCUUGGUAUCCUAUUAUUAUUUACCAAAAGAAUUCAGAAUUAAUAUUGUAACAUAGAUCUAAAAAAUCUAUAAAACAACUUUUAACAACGGAUCUCUUGGUUCCC